rnacentral:RNase_P_RNA from 1 species
AAAGUGUGUUAGCUUGGAAUUCUCUGUGUACGAACGUGUGAUGAAGCAGAGGGGAAGGUCUGAGGAGCCAGAUUCGACUGCAAAGUCAGGUGCAGAAAUGCACUCAACGCCCAUCAGAAAACAGCUUAGUUUCAGCCUGAAAGCGACGUUUUGGCCGCCAAUCUUAGUCUAAUUUCCAAGACUCUCAACUCAAUUCAGACUACUCAAUACACUUU